AUGGGCGCAGGGGUGAUCGUCACAGACUACCGCAACCCGGUGGGCAUCGUGCUCUUCAACAACUCUGAGACGGGCUUCGCCAUGAAGCCCGGCGACUGCGUCACACAGAUGAUUGUCCAGGUGAUUGUGACGCCGGAGGUCGCCGAGGUGGAGGAUAUCUUGACGCCACCGUCCGGAGUUUGCCGAGGUGGAGGACCUCGAUGCCACCCUCUGGAGGUUGCCGAGGUGAAGGACCUCGACGCCUAG
rnacentral:rRNA from 1 species